UAACAGGAUUCCCCUAGUAACUGCGAGUGAAGCGGGAAAAGCUCAAAUUUCAAAUCUGGCGGGGCCGUCCGAGUUGUAAUCUAGAGAAGCGUGUUCUGUGCUGGACCGUGUACAAGUCUCCUGGAAGGGAGCGUCAUAGAGGGUGAGAAUCCCGUCUCUGACACGGAGAUGUGUUGCGCUCUCAACGAGUCGAGUUGUUUGGGAAUGCAGCUCUAAAUGGGUGGUAAAUUCCAUCUAAAGCUAAAUAUUGGCGAGAGACCGAUAGCGAACAAGUACCGUGAGGGAAAGAUGAAAAGAACUUUGGAAAGAGAGUUAAACAGUACGUGAAAUUGCUGAAAGGGAAACGUUUGACGUCAGUCACGUCAGUCAGGGAUCAACCUUGCGGCGGGUGCACUUCCUGGCAGACGGGUCAGCAUCAGUUU
rnacentral:rRNA from 1 species